rnacentral:rRNA from 1 species
UACGGGGGGGGCAAGCGUUGUUCGGAAUUACUGGGCGUAAAGGGCUCGUAGGCGGCCAACUAAGUCAGACGUGAAAUCCCCAGGCUCAACCUGGGAACUGCGUCUGAUACUGGAUGGCUUGAAUUCGGGAGAGGGAUGCAGAAUUCCAGGUGUAGCGGUGAAAUGCGCAGAUAUCAGGAGGAACACCGGUGGCGAAGGCGGGUCUCUGGGCCGAUACUGACGCUGAGGAGCGAAAGCGUGGGGAGCAAACAGG